AUACGGAGGGUCCGAGCGUUAUCCGGAAUCAUUGGGUUUAAAGGGUCCGUAGGCGGGAAUCUAAGUCAGUGGUGAAAUCUUGCAGCUAAACUGUAAAAUUGCCAUUGAUACUGGAUUUCUUGAAUUAGUGUGAAGUGGUUAGAAUGUGUAGUGUAGCGGUGAAAUGCAUAGAUAUUACGCAGAAUACCAAUUGCGAAGGCAGAUCACUAACACUAUAUUGACGCUAAGGGACGAAAGCGUGGGGAGCGAACAGGAUUAGAUACCCGGGUAGUCC
rnacentral:rRNA from 1 species